rnacentral:rRNA from 2 species
UGCAGUCGAGCGGACAGAUGGGAGCUUGCUCCCUGAUGUUAGCGGCGGACGGGUGAGUAACACGUGGGUAACCUGCCUGUAAGACUGGGAUAACUCCGGGAAACCGGGGCUAAUACCGGAUGGUUGUUUGAACCGCAUGGUUCAAACAUAAAAGGUGGCUUCGGCUACCACUUACAGAUGGACCCGCGGCGCAUUAGCUAGUUGGUGAGGUAACGGCUCACCAAGGCAACGAUGCGUAGCCGACCUGAGAGGGUGAUCGGCCACACUGGGACUGAGACACGGCCCAGACUCCUACGGGAGGCAGCAGUAGGGAAUCUUCCGCAAUGGACGAAAGUCUGACGGAGCAACGCCGCGUGAGUGAUGAAGGUUUUCGGAUCGUAAAGCUCUGUUGUUAGGGAAGAACAAGUACCGUUCGAAUAGGGCGGUACCUUGACGGUACCUAACCAGAAAGCCACGGCUAACUACGUGCCAGCAGCCGCGGUAAUACGUAGGUGGCAAGCGUUGUCCGGAAUUAUUGGGCGUAAAGGGCUCGCAGGCGGUUUCUUAAGUCUGAUGUGAAAGCCCCCGGCUCAACCGGGGAGGGUCAUUGGAAACUGGGGAACUUGAGUGCAGAAGAGGAGAGUGGAAUUCCACGUGUAGCGGUGAAAUGCGUAGAGAUGUGGAGGAACACCAGUGGCGAAGGCGACUCUCUGGUCUGUAACUGACGCUGAGGAGCGAAAGCGUGGGGAGCGAACAGGAUUAGAUACCCUGGUAGUCCACGCCGUAAA